AUUGAACGCUGGCGGCAGGCCUAACACAUGCAAGUCGAACGGAGUGGCGAACGGGUGAGUAAUGUAUCGGAACGUGCCAAGUAGCGGGGGAUAACUAAGCGAAAGCGUAGCUAAUACCGCAUACUAUUGGAGCGGCCGAUAUCGGAUUAGCUAGUUGGUGGGGGAACGGACCACCAAGGCGAAGAUCCGUAGCUGGUUUGAGAGGAGCGCCAGCCACACUGUGACUGCGACACGGCCCAGACUCCUACGGGAGGCAGCAGUGGGGAAUUUUGGACAAUGGGGGAAACCCUGAUCCAGCCAUCCCGCGUGUGCGAGGAAGGCCUUCGGGUUGUAAAGCACUUUUGGCAGGAAAGCGGUACCUGCAGAAUAAGCACCGGCUAACUACGUGCCAGCCGCCGCGGUAAUUC
rnacentral:rRNA from 1 species